GACGAACGCUGGCGGCGUGCUUAACACAUGCAAGUCGAGCGAGGCUCUGCUCUUCGGAGCGGAUGCCCUAGCGGCGAACGGGUGAGUAACACGUGGGCAACCUGCCCCUAGCACUGGGAUAACCCCGGGAAACCGGAGCUAAUACCGGAUACGACCACCGGCGGCAUCAUCUGGUGGUGGAAAGAUUUUAUCGGCUAGGGGAUGGGCCCGCGGCCUAUCAGCUUGUUGGUGGGGUAACGCCUACCAAGGCGACGACGGGUAGCCGGCCUGAGAGGGCGACCGGCCACACUGGGACUGAGACACGGCCCAGACUUCUACGGAAGGCAGCAGUGGGGAAUAUUGCGCAAUGGGCGAAAGCCUGACGCAGCGACGCCGCGUGAGGGAUGACGGCCU
rnacentral:rRNA from 1 species